GGAGACUUGCCCAAUUACAUACACUACAAAAUCAGAAUAACACUAGCAGUGCCAGCUCCGUGGCAGUCCAGUAGACUAGCAGAAAAGCAUGGGUAGCUGGGCAACACACUCUGGUCCUUUAGGAACUACACAGAGAGAAAGUUAACCCAGCAAACACAGGUCCUCAGUGGGCUCAGCCACCAGUGGAGGUUUUGCUGGGAUAUUUUGCUACACUACUAUCAUUGCAACAAGUAUACCUAAGGGAUAACAAAACAUGUGCCUCAAGGUCCCCGUGUGACUUAAAAUGCACUACAUCAAACUGGCUCUGUGGAAAGAACAGGACUUAACCGUUCAGCAGGCCUAACUCUCUGGAGCUACCCCUGAAGUCAGCAGCAGCUACACGUCCUUCAUGAGGCCAGAUGUGCAAAGCCGGGCCCAGAAAGCUGAGGUAGGUCCCUGCGCAAGGCCACAGGGCUUCCAUCUCUCUCCACAGAAAACACAUCGCAGAGCUCAUGAGAAGCUAAGUGCCAGCUACCAGGAGUGCUGGAGGGUGAGCUGGAGGAGGUGGCCUUAGGUGGAGAUGAAGGGACAGGAGUCCACAAAGCAGUCCCACUCUGAGUGUCCAGCAAUGCUAGGCAUCUUUUACUUCAACUAAUACAAGCAGAUGUUCAGCUCCCCUGAAUUACUAAAAGCAUACACAUUUUUAAAAAUAGAGCAUACAAAUCAAAUCUCAAGCAUUUUG
rnacentral:lncRNA from 1 species